UUGCAGCUUUUAAUAUAACUUAAAAAAAAAAUCUGUUGUCUGUUACUCAGGUUUCCAUUACAGAUGCAAGAAAAAAAUGUCCUCUCGCUUUCUGUCUGUUUGAUUAUGGCAGCCCAGACGGAAUGGGGGAAUACAGGG
rnacentral:snoRNA from 1 species